rnacentral:lncRNA from 1 species
AGAACAAACUCAACGUUCAUAUGGCUAGAGCAUUAACCGGCCGUACCGCUGCUUGCCACCACCCUCCCUGAUCCACCUAAGGCCUUUACAACAACCGGCCAGUCGAAACUUGUACAAGAACAAACUCAACGUUCAUAUGGCUAGAGCAUUAACCGGCCGUACCGCUGCUUGCCACCACCCUCCCUGAUCCACCUAAGGCCUUUACAACAACCGGCCAGGCCCCUUCCAUGCAUAAAAUCCACCACCCUGACGAACAUGUCCCUCUUGGAGAUCCCAAACGGUCGCUUUCCUCUGCUCCGUGGGAAACGGACAAGCCACUCCUCGUUGCCUCAGACCUCGGUUGGACUGCCGCUCCACUUAAAGAAUCGAAGGACUAAAAUGCCCCUUCAAUUUAAUCUGGUAACGGCUACCUGGUCCAUAAGUGGAGGAUUGAGUGGCAGUCGUGUGAAUUUAAGCAAGUACAGAGGCAUACAUCUCGGAUUCCGAGAUGGGUCCACGCUCUGUUCUGCUUUAGAAUUCCGA